GAUGAACGCUGGCGGCGUGCCUAAUACAUGCAAGUCGAGCGAACAGAUGAGGAGCUUGCUCCUCUGACGUUAGCGGCGGACGGGUGAGUAACACGUGGAUAACCUACCUAUAAGACUGGGAUAACUUCGGGAAACCGGAGCUAAUACCGGAUAAUAUAUUGAACCGCAUGGUUCAAUAGUGAAAGACGGUUUUGCUGUCACUUAUAGAUGGAUCCGCGCCGCAUUAGCUAGUUGGUAAGGUAACGGCUUACCAAGGCAACGAUGCUUAGCCGACCUGGGAGGGUGAUCGGCCACACUGGAACUGAGACACGGUCCAGACUCCUACGGGAGGCAGCAGUAGGGAAUCUUCGGCAAUGGGCGAAAGCUUGACGGAGCAACGCCGCGUGAGUGAUGAAGGUCUUCGGAUCGUAAAACUCUGUUAUUAGGGAAGAACAAAUGUGUAAGUAACUAUGCACGUCUUGACGGUACCUAAUCAGAAAGCCACGGCUAACUACGUG
rnacentral:rRNA from 1 species